CCUACGGUGGCUGCAGUGGGGAAUAUUGGACAAUGGGCGAAAGCCUGAUCCAGCCAUGCCGCGUGUGUGAAGAAGGCCUUCGGGUUGUAAAGCACUUUCAGUGGGGAAGAAAGCCUUGGGGCUAAUACCCUCGAGGAAGGACAUCACCCACAGAAGAAGCACCGGCUAACUCCGUGCCAGCAGCCGCGGUAAUACGGAGGGUGCGAGCGUUAAUCGGAAUUACUGGGCGUAAGGCGCGCGUAGGCGGUCUGAUAAGCCGGUUGUGAAAGCCCCGGGCUCAACCUGGGAACGGCAUCCGGAACUGUCAGGCUAGAGUGCAGGAGAGGAAGGUAGAAUUCCCGGUGUAGCGGUGAAAUGCGUAGAGAUCGGGAGGAAUACCAGUGGCGAAGGCGGCCUUCUGGACUGACACUGACGCUGAGGUGCGAAAGCGUGGGUAGCAAACAGGAUUAGAUACCCUUGUAGUC
rnacentral:rRNA from 1 species